UCCCUGGAAGACUAAUGGUUAGGUGCCGGCACUAUUACAGCCGUGGCCUGGGUUCGAUUCCUUGCCAGGGAA
rnacentral:tRNA from 1 species